GAGAUGGCCAAGUCCCUCUCUCUCUCUCUCUCUCUCUCUCUCUCUCUCUCUCUCUCUCUCUCUCUCUCUCUCUCUCUCUCUCUCUCUCUCUCACACACACACACACACACACACACACACACACACUGCCUCAGUUUUCUCAUCUGUAAGAUGAGUACUUGGGCAGAAGGAUGACCUCUGAGCUCCCUUACAGCGCUAGAUCUAGUGAGAUCACUCAUGCAAUGCGCUUUGCAGUAGGGCUAUCUAUGAUCUGAGGCUCGGAUCCUGUGACGUCAUUCUUUGCCGGACUGAGCACUAGGGGCUGGACACUGAGUUCCUGGAAGCACCAGAAACAUCUGCUGGUAAACGGGGUAUUUAUUUUGCGUAUGUUUUACAGUCACUUCUCUAUAUACCCCGGUUUUACCUCUCCCUCCCACCUCCCAACGUCAGAAGCGCCUUGAGGGCAGGAACCGCCUAGGUUUAGGCUCCGUACCCCCUGCGCUAGCCCACGCUGUAGGUGCUGAACAGAGGCCAGGUUAAGGCUGGGUGAAUUGGACUGGCUUGUGCGCCUGCGCGCCAGCCCCAAGACUACAAUUCCUAGCACCGAGGAACUCUCGGGGUCCGAUGGACCCUAGGAAGGUCCACGCUGACUCUGAGCAGGCGCAGUUGGGGAGAUGUCUAUUUCAACCCUUUUCCUCGGGAUUUAGGUGGAGGUGGAGCGACGCUGUCCGCCACGUGGAUCUCCGAUCCUUGGAACUUACUAUGAGCAAAGGAAUGGGUUCUUCAGUGCCAAUAUCCAUGAGCCCUUUCUCCAAUUCUAGGAAAAGGGCUGCCAUCUUGAGACUCUACCCUUUACCAAAAAGGGAGAAUUGA
rnacentral:lncRNA from 1 species